rnacentral:rRNA from 1 species
GUACCCACUCCUACGGGAGGCAGCAGUGGGGAAUAUUGCACAAUGGGCGCAAGCCUGAUGCAGCCAUGCCGCGUGUAUGAAGAAGGCCUUCGGGUUGUAAAGUACUUUCAGCAGUGAGGAAGGUGGGUAUGUUAAUAGCAUAUUCAUUUGACGUUAGCUGCAGAAGAAGCACCGGCUAACUCCGUGCCAGCAGCCGCGGUAAUACGGAGGGUGCGAGCGUUAAUCGGAAUUACUGGGCGUAAAGCGCAUGCAGGUGGUUUGUUAAGUCAGAUGUGAAAGCCCGGGGCUCAACCUCGGAAUUGCAUUUGAAACUGGCAAACUAGAGUACUGUAGAGGGGGUAGAAUUUCAGGUGUAGCGGUGAAAUGCGUAGAGAUCUGAAGGAAUACCGGUGGCGAAGGCGGCCCCCUGGACAGAUACUGACACUCAGAUGCGAAAGCGUGGGGAGCAAACAGGAUUAGAUACCCUGGUAG